UGGUCCAGUGUCGGCGGGGGGAUGCCGGUCGGCCCAGGGAGCCAUGCUGGCCGGAAUCGUGGAGAAGACGGCAGCUGCAGAAGAGCACAACCUCGGCCCGAACGCCACUGAAGCCGUCAACGAGAUGGACGAGCCCCGGCUGAAUAGCAAUCUAUACAUCAGAUGAUCAUACAGGCAAUGAUUGGUUGAUGCUCAUCCUUUAUGUGAAGCUGAUUUUAAAAUGAUCACUGAAGAAGACUACAUAGUCAGGUUUUUCCAGGAUGCAGUGAUCAGAGGGAAGCUGAGCAGCUGCCAGUCAGCGCCGCGGCGGAAGGACGAUUCCCUGGCGGUGUCUCACCGGGAGCGGGGUAACGCCAGUUUCCGCUCCGGCCGGUUCGCGGCGGCGCUGCAGCAGUACGGCGAGGCGGCUCUGAAUGCCGACAGCGCCGAGACGCUGAGCGGCGCGCUGGCCAACCGUUCGGCAGCGCUCCACCGCCUGCAGCGACACCAGGACAGCCUCGAUGACAUCGCCCACGCGCUCGAGUCUGGCUACCCGGCGGACCGGCACCACAAGCUGCAUGUUCGGCGCGCCCGCUGCCUGCUAGUGCUGGGGAGGCUGGAGCAGUCUCGUGCCGCCCUGGCCCAGUACCGGUCGGCCCUGGACAACAUACGCCUGGGACCGUCCGCCAGAGAUAAGCUGACCGCGGAGGCGGACGCUCUGUCGGCGGACAUUGAUCGGGCGGCGACCGGAGACGGCCCUGACCGGUGUGCUGAGACUGGGGAGGACGAGAGCUCCACACCGCGGCCGGCGCUGGAGGGCGGCAGCGGGCCGCUGGUUGGCGCCUCCAGCUCCCUGCAGCUCAGGCAGAGCGAGCGGAAGGGGCGGCACGUGGUGACAACUCGCCCCGUGGCCAAGGGUGCCGUGCUGUUUGCUGAGGAGCCGUACGUGUGCGUCCUGCUGCCGGAGCGGCGGCUGGACCACUGCCACCACUGCCUCCGACACACACACGCGCUGCUACCGUGCUUGCGGUGCCCGGACGUGGGUUUCUGCAGCGCCGCCUGCCGGGACGAGGCCGGUGCCGUCUACCACGCGGCCGAGUGUGGCCACGCCUCCUUUCUGGAAGCGUUCGGUAUCGGACGGGCGGCCGUGCGCGUGCUGCUGACUGCCGGCUGGCAGCGGGUGCUGGCGCUGCGGACGCAGCUGGCAGCUGUGGGCAGCAGCUGCCGGGCCGACAUCUGCAGCUGCUACCGGCCCGAUGGGGACCGGUACCUGUCGGUUUUCCACCUGGUGCAUCACCUGGCCGAGUGUCACACAGAGGACGCCUACCACUACGGACGGGCGGCCGCCACUCUGGCCGUGUUCCUGGCGGAGCGGACGGCGUUUUUCGGCGCCGGCGCCGGGUCGGCCGGUCCGCCGGACUGGGCGCUGCGCUGGACGGCGGCGCUGCUGCUGCGACACAUCCUGCAGCUGGUGUGUAACGCGCACGCGCCCACCAAGCUGGUGCCGCUGCCCAGCGAUGGUGAUGGUGACGGAGGGGUGGUGCAGCUCUCUGAACAACGUAUCGCCACGGCGAUCUACCCGUCGGCCAGCUAUAUGAACCACAGCUGCGACCCCAGCAUCAUUAACAGUUUCUGGGGCAACACCCUGAUCGUGCGCAGCAUCAAGUCGCUAUCAGCGGGCGCCGAGGUGUACCACUGUUACGGACCCCACUAUGCGCGCGGUGCGCCAUCCGAGCGGCACCGACAGUUGCUGGAGCAGUACCACUUCACCUGCGACUGCGAGCACUGCACGCGGCCAGAGCUGGCGCACCACCUGGAGCGGCUGAACGCCCUCCGGUGUGCGGACUGCGGUGGAGCGACCCUGCCUGUUGGUGAGGCCAGCGGGGAGCGGCGCCGCUGCCUGAAGUGCCGCCGCACACUCUGCUACAGCGACCGGCAGCAGCGGCUGCAGCGGAUCGAGGCUGAGGCUGAACAAGUGGCGAGUUCCGGCGGAGACUCCGGCGAUCGCCAGGUGGUCUGCAGACUGGACGAACUUCUGAGGGAGGCGGCCGCACUGGCCCAGCCGAGCCACGAGACUCUGUAUAUUCUGCACGACCUGCGUGCCAACACCUGCACCAGAAUCGGUGAUCCGACGCGGGCUCUGGAGAGUCUGCGGCCAAACAUGGCCAGCGCAGAGGCGCGAUACGGCGCUGACAGUGUCGAACUGGGAAACCUGCUCCUGACUACCACCGAUGUGCUGGUGCUGGCUGUCCGCGAGGCCCGGACUAUAGAGACGCGCAGAGAGCUGUCUGACGAGCUACAGCGGCUCGCCGAAAACGGACUGGGCAUUUUCACCAUCCACUACGGCGAGUGGAGCCCCGCCUACCGGGACCUGCGCCGCAAACUGGCAGACGUCCGCCUGGAGCAGCCCACCUGAGCCCAGCCGUCCAGUCAGGUCACCAGACGAGGGGGAGUGACACCACUCGGUCUCACUAAUCCCGCCACGGCCUGCUGCGCUGGAGACCAGCGCAACGUCCAGCGCAGGGGAGGCUUUCAAGGUGGGUCUCGGAGUCCCGUACUCAUGGCCCAGGAGAUCAAAACCAUCCGGGAGCUCCUGAGCUCGGCACAUGAGAUCCAAUCGGCCCAUUCGAGUGCUUUUUCUGGGAAUCAACGGCAAAUACACAGCGUGUGACAUUGGUGGAAACUUUCAUCAAUGCCCCCUACAUGUGUCGAAAAGUCUUACUGACCCCCCACAUGUGUCGAAAAGUCUUACUGACGAGUUUGUGGAUUUAGCCUUCAUGGAUACAGGGUGUGGCUAUUUUCGUCAAGAGGUGACUAAUUACAAGCCUUUCUUCUGGUCCUGUUGUUUGUUCAAUUUAGUUUCGGUAUGUGUUGUUCGAGCAUUCUCUCAUACCGAGACUGUUAGUCGAUUUAGAUGCGGUGAGCUUCAUAGAUGUCGCUGCGACGACAUUGCCAAAGGCUGGACUUUACAUUAUAGUGUUCAUACGUGCCGUUUUGAUUAGUUGACUUGUGUAAUUUUUCCUCUUAUAUGCACACAUUUUUUUUGCACUAAACAGCUGUUUUCAGUGCAUAAGUUUGGGAGCCGUUUUUUUUUUUUUUUUUUGGUGUGUAAAGGUGUGUCUCGAGACGAUGUUUCUUUCACUCAAGGAUUGUAUUUGUAUGUCAACAUGUUUGCGUUGUUUUCGAAUCGAGUAACAGGUCAUGACACCGAGCUGCAAAGUGUGCUCGAGUUUUUCAUAUUUGAUGUCAAAGAUGAAUGUAAUUGUUAAGGUUCUGCUUAUCUUUUGUUACCACUCUUUGGCCUUGAUGACUGAUUUUCAUCCUGUCAUGAGAAAGUGCUGGGCCAUCUGAAAUACGUGUCAAUACACGAUCCAUUUUGA
rnacentral:misc_RNA from 1 species